rnacentral:rRNA from 1 species
GUUUUAAAAAGUAUUGGUUCUGCUAUCACUCUUGGGAUGGACCUGCGGUGCAUUUAGCUAGUUGGUAGGGUAACGGGCCUACCAAGGCGAUGAUGCAUAGCCCGAGUUGAGAGACUGAUCGGGCCACAUUGGGGACUGAGACACGGGCCCAAACUCCUACGGGAGGCAGCAGUAGGGAAUCUUCCACAAUGGACGCAAGUCUGAUGGAGCAAACGCCGCGUGAGUGAAGAAGGGUUUCGGCUCGUAAAAAGCUCUGUUGUUGGUGAAGAAGGACAGGGGUAGUAACUGACCCUUUGUUUGACGGUAAUCAAUUAGAAAGUCACGGGCUAACUACGUGCCAGCAGCCGCGGUAAAU